rnacentral:rRNA from 1 species
ACGCUCGACACCUACUGGAGGCAGCAGUGGGGAAUAUUGCACAAUGGGGGAAACCCUGAUGCAGCGACGCCGCGUGAGCGAAGAAGUAUUUCGGUAUGUAAAGCUCUAUCAGCAGGGAAGAAACUGACGGUACCUGACUAAGAAGCACCGGCUAAAUACGUGCCAGCACGCCGGACGGUAAUCUGAGGCGGGCGUGGCGAAGGC